AGCAGCCGCGGUAAUUCCAGCUCCAAUAGCGUAUAUUAAAGUUGUUGCAGUUAAAAAGCUCGUAGUUGAAUUUUAGGCCUGGCCGGGCGGUCCGUCUUUGGCGAGUACUGUCCUGUGUCGGGUCCACCUUCUGGUGAACCAGUAUGUCCUUUAUUGGGUGUGCCGGGGAGCCAGGACCAUUACCUUGAAAAAAUUAGAGUGUUUAAAGCAGGCAUUUGCUUGAAUAGAUUAGCAUGGAAUAAUAGAAUAGGACGUUGGUUCUAUUUUGUUGGUCUAGGUUACCACCGUAAUGAUUAAUAGGGAUAGUUGGGGGCAUUAGUAUUCAAUUGUCAGAGGUGAAAUUCUUGGAUUUAUCGAAGGCUAACUAUUGCGAAAGCAUUUGCCAAGGAUGUUUUCAUUUAAUCAAGAACGAAAGUUAGGGGAUCGAAGACGAUCAGAUACCGUCGUAGUCUUAACCAUAAACUAUGCCGACUAGGAAUCGGGCGACGUUAUUUUCAUGACUCGCUCGGCGCCUUAUGG
rnacentral:rRNA from 1 species